rnacentral:rRNA from 1 species
AGCCCUAGCACAGGUGCUGCAUGGCCGUCGUCAGCUCGUGCCGUGAGGUGUCGGGUUAAGUCCCGCAACGAGCGCAACCCCGCCGUUAGUUGCCAGCGGUUCGGCCGGGCACUCUAACGGGACUGCCCGCGAAAGCGGGAGGAAGAGGGACGACGUCUGGUCAGCAUGGCCUUUAUGACCAGGGCUACACACGUACUACAAUGGCCGAUACAAAGGGCAGCGACAUUGCGAAAUGAAGCCAAUCCCAUAAAUUCGGUCUCAGUCCGGAUUGGAGUCUGCAACUCGACUCCAUGAAGUUGGAAUCGCUAGUAAUCGUGGAUCAGCAUGCCACGGUGAAUACGUUCCCGGGCCUU